UCCCCAAGCUGCCACACAAUGUUAUCUUAAAACCUGUCGCAUAUAUCAACUAAUGCUUUCCACAAAGGAGAGUCACAAGGUUAAGCAUUCAUAUAGCAACACAAAUAUCAAUAUUUGUACCAUACUUAAAUGUAAAGGACCUUACACCAGAGGUCUUCAAGUUUGUUGAUCAAGUUCCAAAUCAUUUCAUGAAGAACAAUUCAUUCAUCUCACGAGGAUUACAUAUCCCAAGGCCUCGUCUUUUUAGGCAGGCCGCAAACAUCUCAACGAAUUAAACGAAACUCACGGUUAUGAUCAGUGUCUCCCAAAAAAAUCCCUUGCAAUUUCUCCAUAUCAUCUGAUAAAGUUAUGGGAAGUUUUACAUACUGCAUGUGACAAUAAAGAACAAAACUACAAAUUAAUUUAAAAAACUCAAACACCGUUGUUUCCAACCACUUAACUUGUGCUGAAUUUUAGACACACUGUGGUUAAAUUUAUCCCUUACAGUACGACUAGAGCUAUGUUGGCUCUCAUAUGGUUAACCCGUGUGAUUUCAAUAUGGUUUAAUAUGUCUUCAUUGAUACGUUGAUCCACGUUCUUAGAGAAAAACUUUGGAGUUUUUUGGCUAUUAAUCUUUUGGCACGAGGCUUUACAUAAUUGGUCCAGGCAUCACUAAGUUGGAGAGUUUAUUUUUAUUUUUAUUUACAAUAGACCCAUGUGAGUUGGUUUAGAGUGAAAAAUUCCGAAUAUACAAUGGCAACCAAACCCAAGUAUCCUCGCUCACCAUUUGCCCUCCAAAAGAAAGCGUGUGGUUUUGGCGGGAAACAAUAGAGUGAAGGAACGCAAGAUGGCGAACAAGCUCAUCAACCAGAUGGCUUUGCCCAAAUCCAUCGCUAAUAUCUUCGCCGCUCGUAACAUUAUCACCGCCAAGGAUGCAUUAUCUCUAACUGAAUUUGAGUUGAUGGAGUUGUUGGACGUUGGUAUGGCAGAAGUAACAUCUGCAAUGGCGCACAUUAGCGAAGUCGUCUGUCCACCUUGUCAAACUGCAUUACUUCUGAUGGAGCAGCGAGUACGAAACGAGAGCUUGGCAGGUCACCUUCCCACUCGUCUGAAAGGUUUGGACGAAGCCUUGUGCGGUGGUAUCCCAUUCGGUGUUUUGACAGAGUUGGUCGGUCCACCAGGAAUUGGCAAAACACAGUUUUGCUUGAAGCUCUCAUUGCUGGCUUCUUUGCCGGUAAAUUGUGGAGGCUUAGACGGCCGAGUGAUAUAUAUUGAUGUUGAAUCCAAAUUUAGUUCAAAAAGAUUGAUAGAGAUUGGAACAAAGAGUUUUCCUGAAAUAUUUCACAAGAAGGGAAUGGCACAGGAGAUGGCUGGUAGAAUCCGGAUCUUACGUCCUACAUCACUUUCUGAAUUUGCUGAGAGUUUGCAACGGAUCAAAGUAUCACUCCUCCAGCAACAAGUGAAGUUGCUCAUCGUUGAUAGCAUGGCUGCUCUUGUUUUAGGUGAACAUGAUUGUGGGGCUUCUAGGCAACAAGCAUUGGGUUGGCACGUCUCUUUCAUCAAGUCACUUGCUGAAUUUUCACGAAUUCCAAUUGUAUUGACAAAUCAAGUAAGAUCUCAUAUUGGUGAUGAAUCUCUCAUGUAUUCCUUUCAAGCACAGAGCCGCCCUACAAAAGAAGACAAUCCAGUUACAUUUGAUUCUCAUCUUGUUGCUGCUUUGGGAAUUAACUGGGCUCAUGCGGUGACCAUCCGUCUUGUACUUGAAUCCAGAUCAGGUCAAAGGUUCAUUAAGUUGGCAAAAUCUCCAAUGUCACCCCCUUUGGCUUUCCCUUUCAACAUUACUUCAUCAGGGAUUGUUCUGCUUGACGACGAUGGGAUAGAGAUGAAAGGGCCAGAAAUAAACACUAUACACUGCCAAGGCCAAAAUGCUUUGUUUAAUUUUGAAUUUUGAAAGGUGAAAAGAGAAAAGUUGGACUUUGGACUACUAGUUCACUUCAGCAAUCUAUUUUCUUUCACAUAUUCCAAGCAAACGAAGUCCUCACAGAAAUCAACAAGGACGGGGACAAGGAAAAAACUUAGGUGGGAAACUGAGACAGGGAUGGGGGGAAAUAUUUGGAGAGGGGAUAGAGAAUUGGCUCCGUUGACAUCGCUAUGAAAUGAGAGUAGAGCUGGAGAGGGUUUUAAUAGAAUGAUAAGGGAGGUGUAGCUAGAAGUUCCUUCAUUCCAUGUACUAAAUCUACACAAAUUAAUCUGCAUGGACUUCAUUUUUUCUCGA